AUUGAACGCUGGCGGCAUGCCUUACACAUGCAAGUCGAACGGUAACGGGCCUUCGGGUGCCGACGAGUGGCGAACGGGUGAGUAAUACAUCGGAACGUGCCCGAUCGUGGGGGAUAACGAGGCGAAAGCUUUGCUAAUACCGCAUACGAUCUACGGAUGAAAGCAGGGGACCGCAAGGCCUUGCGCGGACGGAGCGGCCGAUGGCAGAUUAGGUAGUUGGUGGGAUAAAAGCUUACCAAGCCGACGAUCUGUAGCUGGUCUGAGAGGAUGAUCAGCCACACUGGGACUGAGACACGGCCUAGACUCCUACGGGAGGCAGCAGUGGGGAAUUUUGGACAAUGGGCGCAAGCCUGAUCCAGCCAUGCCGCGUGCAGGAUGAAGGCCUUCGGGUUGUAAACUGCUUUUGUACGGAACGAGAAGCCUUCUUUUAAUACAGGAGGGUCAUGACGGUACCGUAAGAAUAAGCACCGGCUAACUACGUG
rnacentral:rRNA from 1 species